AAAGCGGUCCUUUUAAGGACCACUCAUAGGUUGUACAAUAGGAUUG
rfam:Ixodes scapularis strain Wikel colony gcontig_1108378687038, whole genome shotgun sequence.